rnacentral:rRNA from 1 species
CAGGGAAUCUUCCGCAAUGGACGAAAGUCUGACGGAGCAACGCCGCGUGAGUGAAGAAGGAUUUCGGUUCGUAAAACUCUGUUGUUAGGGAAGAAAAAAUGUAUAGUAACUAUAUACAAAAGAGACGGUACCUAACCAGAAAGCCACGGCUAACUACGUGCCAGCAGCCGCGGUAAUACGUAGGUGGCAAGCGUUGUCCGGAAUUAUUGGGCGUAAAGCGCGCGCAGGUGGUUUAGAAAGUCUGAUGUGAAAGCCCACGGCUCAACCGUGGAGGGUCAUUGGAAACUAAUAAACUUGAGUGGAGGGAGGAGAAGUGGAAUUCCUAGUGUAGCGGUGAAAUGCAUAGAGAUUAGGAGAAACACCGGUGGCGAAAGCGGCUUUUUGGCCUGCAACUGACACUGAGGGGCGAAAGCGUGGGGAGCAAACAGG